UUUAUCUAACACUUUAUAUCAGUAUAUAUAUUUUGUUUUUCUCAUUUUCUUCAUUUUUCAUUUUUGAUCCCCAUCCCACCGCUCUCCCUUUCCCCAUUCUGUGCGCUUCAUUUGAUUUCCUUUUAAUUUUAAUUAAAACCAAUCCAUUUAUUUCACUUUUAAUUCCAAUUAAUUUACUUUCUUUUCCUCACUCAUUCUUACUUAAGUACAGAGGUCCCGAACAGUGUAUACUCGUUAGGGUUAGUUUUAAGGUUAGCUUCUAAGGUUAGGGUUAGUUUGUAGGGUUAGGCUUACCUUCCCUUUAUAUCGUUACGUUGAUGCGUCGGGACCUCUGUAUUUAAGUAGUACCACUCUAUAUUUGUUCCUGUUUUAAUUUCUUGGCAUAUUGUUUCCUUUUCUUCUUUCUUUGUUGAGUGUUUUCUGCUUAUUUCUGUUAGUUCUGCAUUUUAUAUUUUUGUGUCUAUUCGUGAAAUAAUGUACUCUCGUCCAUAUCUCUUGCCCAAUGUGGCAGAAUUUUCUCCUUCAUAUUCUCGUUCCUAUCGUCACGCUUCUUCGUCGUCGUCUUCCGUUAAAUUGCCGCCGUUAAAGUUGUCAACAUCUAAGAAUUUAUCAGUGCUAAAAUCGUCUUCGUCUUUUCUGUCGACUUCAGUGAAUUUGCCAUCACCAAAUACAUUUCCGUUGUGUUCAGUGUCACCGCCUGCGCUUUCAGAGUCUGUAUCAUCGUUACCUAAAAUAUGUAAAACGUCAGAUGACUAUCUAGACACUAUUAAACGUAGAGCUCAUUACUUUACCCUUUUCAGGAAUCCUACUCCCGGCACUACCCCUAAGAUACCCGCUGAGUCAAAGAUACGCCUCAACAGGAAACUGUAUCCACUUCUAACCCAGAAAUUCAAUCAGAAGAAAGUUGUGAAGUUUGACCCAUUGGAGACUGUCUACGAGAUACCUACUUUGGAGGAACUGCAGAGCGAAAAGAAGGAGCUGAAACGACCGACCCAUAGAAGGAAGAGCUGAAGAGAAAGCGAAUGGAUGAAAUCUUCAGCUAAAGACAUGUCAUCGGUCUCACUGGUUCAGUGUAACAAAAUACGAAAAUGUUGUUAGAGAACAUUUUUAUGGAAGAAAGUUGGUAAAACAAUUGAAAAAUUCAAUUUGUGACAACGAGGUAAUUUCUUUUGCCGUUGUUUUAGAAAGACCACUGAUUAAUCUGAACAUGGGUUAAGCUUGGAAUGACGCAAUGUUCUAGACGCCAUAUAGAAAGAUUAAGGAUUAGAGUUUUCUGGAAGACCUGAUGGAAGCCCCUUAUGCACUUGCGCAAUCAUCAUCAGCAGCUAGACUUCACCCUCGAUAAUUCACCAAAGCGUUCACGUCUACCGCUAACCUGAGAUGGAAUUUUUCCCAGUGAAAAUAAAUUGUUGUUGUUAUUUAGA
rnacentral:lncRNA from 1 species